AAUUAUAUGGUGUAUUUAACACGGUAAGUUGCAAACUUUCAGAAGAGUAAUCUAUAAUUA
rnacentral:tRNA from 1 species